UGGUUCAGUGGUAAAACUCUUGCUUUCCACGCAGGAGAUCUGGGUUCAAUUUCCCAG
rnacentral:tRNA from 1 species